CUCCAUACAAAUAUAGCUUGGUUCAUUUGAAAACUAACCAAUCAAAAUCAAUGAAAUUUUUUGGACAGGUUC